UCUAAUAUGGCAGAUUAGUGCAAUGGAUUUAAGCCCCAUAAAUAAAGAAACUUUUUCUUUUUUUAGAA
rnacentral:tRNA from 1 species